AUGCUUGGUGCGCCAUCUCCAUGGAUGCAACGAUCGGAACGGAUCAAACCAAGACCAUGUUUUGGGAGAGGAUUACCGACCGCUACAACAACUCCGUGGACGUGCGUUCAAGCCGUACCCAAGGUUCUCUUGGGCAUCGUUGGAUCUUCAUUCAUGACCAAUGCAGCCGAUGGUCCAGUUGCAUCGACCAAGUGA
rnacentral:rRNA from 1 species